rnacentral:misc_RNA from 1 species
GAUGAAGAACGUAGCGAAAUGCGAUACUUGGUGUGAAUUGCAGAAUCCCGUGAACCAUCGAGUUUUUGAACGCAAGUUGCGCCCGAAGCCAUCAGGUUGAGGGCACGUCUGCCUGGGCGUCACAUAUCGUUGCUCGAUGCCUAUCGCAUUGCGAUAGGACUUAGGGCGAAUGAUGGCUUCCCGUGAGCGUUGUUGCCUCGCGGUUGGUUGAAAAUCGAGUCCUUGGUAGGGUGUGCCAUGAUAGAUGGUGGUCGAGUUAGCACGGGACCGAUCAUGUGCAUGCUCCCCAAAAUAUGGCCUCUGUGACCCACACGCGUCUUUUGACGCUCAUGAUGAGACCUCAGGUCAGGCGGGGCUACCCGCUGAAUUUAAGCAUAUCAAUAAGCGGAGGA